GAUGAACGCUAGCUACAGGCUUAACACAUGCAAGUCGAGGGGCAGCAUGGUCUUAGCUUGCUAAGGCCGAUGGCGACCGGCGCACGGGUGAGUAACACGUAUCCAACCUGCCGUCUACUCUUGGACAGCCUUCUGAAAGGAAGAUUAAUACAAGAUGGCAUCAUGAGUCCGCAUGUUCACAUGAUUAAAGGUGUUCCGGUAGACGAUGGGGAUGCGUUCCAUUAGAUAGUAGGCGGGGUAACGGCCCACCAAGGCAUCGAUGGAUAGGGGUUCUGAGAGGAAGGUCCCCCACAUUGGAACUGAGACACGGUCCAA
rnacentral:rRNA from 1 species